GAGAAAUGAGGAUAAUAAACUAAAACUUGAUUCUCUGUGAUGACUUAAGAUCCAACUCUGAUCUCCUGAAGGCA
ensembl:snoRNA